ACUCGGCUAUAUGCUGGAAACCCUGAGUAUCUCCGCUUACCUUAAUAAGGUGAAAAUGGCGGAGUGCAGGCAACCAGCAGGGAAGGCGUGUCAUGACAAAAGGAAGAACAUACAAGGAUGACGAAUUGUGUGAAACGAGGCGGGUUCUUAGGGAACUUAGAGACAAGCUCAGGUCCCUGGACCACCUAUACGGCAUAGGAGGAGCCAAGAGUCAAAAAUUGGACGCCUACAAGAAAGCCGUACAGGAGUUGAACGUAAUUCUCAGUGUAUGACCACGAACCCUCAGAGACUGUACGCCGAGCGCGUGUGAACAUUGGGGCGAAAGCGACGAACGCAAGUAGCCCCAGAAAUUCAUACGCUGAUGAUACAGUCCGACCUCUAUGGCGACAUAGAGAGCGCGGCAGAAAUGUCCGCGCCGGCGGCAAUUUAAGUUUUUAAUUCCUGGUUUUCGUUAAAAAUUGAAAAUUAGAAAUUGAAAAUUAAUUUUGUUGUCCGCAACAAAAGUGUAGAUACCCUUGUAGUCCACGCCCUAAACGAUGCCGACUUGCUGUUUCGAGUAUCGACCCUCGGAGUGGCGUAGCUAACGCGUUAAGUCGGCCGCCUNNNNNNNNNNNNAACGCGUUAAGUCGGCCGCCUGGGAAGUACGAGCGCAAGCUUAAAACUCAAAGGAAUAGACGGGGACUCGCACAAGCGGUGGAACAUGAGGUUUAAUUCGACGGUAAGCGAGGAACCUUACCAGGGUUUGAAAUGCGUGCUGAAGUUUCGCUGAAAAGCGGGGCGUCUCUCAAGGACAGUACGCGCAGGUGUUGCAUGGUUGUCGUCAGUUCGUGCCGUGAGGCGUCCCCUUAAUUGGGUGAACGAACGCAACCCCUACCGAGUGUUACAAGUGUCACUCGGAACUGCCCAGCCCAGUGCGCACGAAGUGCGCACUAGAAAGUAGCCAGUAGCCAGUAGCGAGUAGGAAUUUUUUCUACUUUCUACUUACUACUUUCUACUCGCUAGUGUGUUCGCUUCGCGAACACCGGGCUGGGAGGAAGGAGGGGAUGACGUCAAAUCCGCAUGACCCUUUGAUACCCUGGGCUACACUCGUGUUACAAUGGCCGGGACAAUGGGAUGUGAAGCCGUAAGGCGGAACCAAUCCCAUCAAACCCGGUCCCAGUUCGGAUUGAGGGCUGCAACUCGCCCUCAUGAAGUUGGAAUCGCUAGUAAUCGCGGAUCAGCUAUGCCGCGGUGAAUACGUUCUCGAGUCCUGUACUCACUGCCCGUCAAGCCAAGGGAGCCGGGAGUAGAUGAUAUUUCAUUUCGGUGGAACUAGUCUAAACUCGGUGACAUGGGCUAAGUCGUAACAAGGCACGCGUAGCGGAAGCUGUGCGUG
rnacentral:rRNA from 1 species